rnacentral:tRNA from 1 species
AAGGGAGACCUAAUUCAGGUAUGGGACGAAAAAAAAGUAGUCGCUACCAAGGAUCAAUCCCAAAAGGUCGGAGCGAGGUAUGAGGCUUUCAAACUAGGUUCUGGGUUCAAACAAGACCUGAAUCAGGAACAAGGGCUAUUAGCUCAGGUGGUUAGAGCGCACCCCUGAUAAGGGUGAGGUCCCUGGUUCGAGUCCAGGAUGGCCCACCUGCACAGGUGGCAAAAACAAGAGAAGCGAGGAAUCAGCACCUUAUCUUAUCUAUAUAUAUAUAGGAGAGAAUGCUGGCUCUGAGUAAAGAGUCCAGAGGAACCUUGAAAACUGCAUAGAGCUAGGUGAAAAAGCCAAAAAAGAAGACCGCAAGGUCAAGCUAAUAAGGGCUAACGGUGGAUACCUAGGCAC